rnacentral:rRNA from 1 species
AGAGCGAACGCUGGCGGCAGGCUUAACACAUGCAAGUCGAGCGGGCGUAGCAAUACGUCAGCGGCAGACGGGUGAGUAACGCGUGGGAACAUACCUUUUGGUUCGGAACAACACAGGGAAACUUGUGCUAAUACCGGAUAAGCCCUUACGGGGAAAGAUUUAUCGCAGCAGGAGGGGCCCGCGUCGGAUUAGGUAGUUGGUGGGGUAACGGCCUACCAAGCCUUUGAUCCGUAGCUGGUCUGAGAGGAUGAUCAGCCACACUGGGACUGAGACACGGCCCAGACUCCUACGGGAGGCAGCAGUGGGGAAUAUUGGACAAUGGGCGCAAGCCUGAUCCAGCAAUGCCGCGUGAGUGAUGAAGGCCUUAGGGUUGUAAAGCUCUUUCGCCCGCGACGAUGAUGACGGUAGCGGGAGAAGAAGCCCCGGCUAACUUCGCGCCAGCAGCCGC